AGCGGCGGAUGGGUGAGUAACACGUGGGGAACCUGCCCCUAAGUCUGGGAUACCAUUUGGAAACAGGUGCUAAUACCGGAUAAUAAAGCAGAUCGCAUGAUCAGCUUUUGAAAGGCGGCGUAAGCUGUCGCUAAGGGAUGGCCCCGCGGUGCAUUAGCUAGUUGGUAAGGUAACGGCUUACCAAGGCGACGAUGCAUAGCCGAGUUGAGAGACUGAUCGGCCACAUUGGGACUGAGACACGGCCCAAACUCCUACGGGAGGCAGCAGUAGGGAAUCUUCCACAAUGGACGCAAGUCUGAUGGAGCAACGCCGCGUGAGUGAAGAAGGUUUUCGGAUCGUAAAGCUCUGUUGUUGGUGAAGAAGGAUAGAGGUAGUAACUGGCCUUUAUUUGACGGUAAUCAACCAGAAAGUCACGGCUAACUACGUGCCAGCAGCCGCGGUAAUACGUAGGUGGCAAGCGUUGUCCGGAUUUAUUGGGCGUAAAGCGAGCGCAGGCGGAAAAAUAAGUCUAAUGUGAAAGCCCUCGGCUUAACCGAGGAACUGCAUCGGAAACUGUUUUUCUUGAGUGCAGAAGAGGAGAGUGGAACUCCAUGUGUAGCGGUGGAAUGCGUAGAUAUAUGGAAGAACACCAGUGGCGAAGGCGGCUCUCUGGUCCGCAACUGACGCUGAGGCUCGAAAGCAUGGGUAGCGAACAGGAUUAGAUACCCUGGUAGUCCAUGCCGUAAACGAUGAGUGCUAAGUGU
rnacentral:rRNA from 1 species